CCCUUGUUAGCUCAGUUGGUAGAGCGCUCCACUUGAAAUGGAGAGGUCCCGGGUUCGAUACCCGGACCAGGCG
rnacentral:tRNA from 1 species